UACGUAGGGGCCUAGCGUUGUCCGGAAUUAUUGGGCGUAAAGAGCUCGUAGGCGGUUCGGCAAGUCGGAUGUGAAAUCUCCACGCUUAACGUGGAGGGGCCAUUCGAAACUGCUGUGACUGGAGUCCGGUAGGGGAGUGUGGAAUUCCCGGUGUAGCGGUGAAAUGCGCAGAUAUCAGGAAGAACACCCGUGGCGAAGGCGGCUCUCUGGGACGGUACUGACGCUGAGACGCGAAAGCGUGGGGAGCAAACGGG
rnacentral:rRNA from 1 species